AAUAGUAUCUAUGUGCUGCAGUUGAUGAUGAGAAUAGUAUCUAUGUGCUGCCAUUGAUGAUGUCCCAUUCUACUGUCUAGCUCUUAAAUUAGGGCAGGGAAGGUACCACAUUGCUGACGAAGAAGAAGCUCAUACAUGCAGUGUCAUGCUGUCCUUUCCUGCAGGCAUUAUAAGCUAUACUGCUAUAGGGUGGUCGAUCAUAAAUUCUGUAAGGUUUGUAAUCGAGAGAGAUCGAUCGAGAGAAGAUGCACACGAUUUCUUGAAAAUUAUAACUCACUUGCAAUGUAAGAUAUUGAUAAAAUUGUAACUCCGUACUAAUACUAGCUCUUUGUCAUUCAAUGUCUAAAAUGGAAGAAUCAUUCGUAGGUACAAUCAACGUACGAAGGUGUUUUUAUUUUGUAUAAAAAUACAGGGAUUAUUAUCAUUUCUUAGAUUAAUUCAUGAUACCAAACUAAAGGGAUCUAGCUAGCUAGCCUUCAUGACGUAUUGGAGACACUGAUAGUUUUGCCCUAAUUGUAUAACUCAUGUUCAAUUGUUCAUAUACAACCAAAUGAACCAACCUAUCACCUAUAUAUAGUUCUUCUAUACGUACGUACGUGUACACUUCCGACCUAAAGUACAUGUAUACUUGUACAAUACAAUUACAAUGAUUGAUUAUGGUUUAUGGGAUAUUAUUUGGGUUAAUUAGGAACUUAGGAUCAUGUUUGGGGAUUUGACAACAUUAGUUAUAUGGUUUCCGUACAAAUCCGCUGAGGUCGACUUUUGCAGCUGGUUUGAGGAUGCGUUUGGUAUUAGGGUUAUAUCAUGGAACCGUGGGGACUCGCCACCAAUUAAUUUGGUGCAUAGAAGAUCAUGACCAAAUCAGGGUUAGCCUUCCUAUGCUUAUUGUCAUCACAGAUUUGGAUCUCAGAUCCUUCUUGAAUGCUGAAUUGGGGUUAGGGUUACUGGGUUAGGGAAGUCACCAGAAUAUUCUGAUGUACUCGAGUAGAAAGACCUCGGCGGGGGGCAACAAAACAAAUUUGAUGAUAUCUUCUUCCUCUUCUUCGAUCUUCUUCUUUUUUGCAAGAUCAGAGUGCUGUGUUUGGCUUGGCUUUAAUAAUUAGGUCAUGUUUUGGUGAUUGAGUUGGACUUGUAUACAUGUCCCAAUCCUGACAGGUCCUUCUAAAAAUUUUUAAGCCACUACGGUGUCCUAUAACUUAGAAUUUCCAGCCAAAUGCAAUUCAAGUUUCCUAAAUUUGCUAAUGAUCGAGUUUUGAGUUUCCCAUUACAAUAUUAUCACUACGUACGUCAGCAUCAAAAUGGUUGAUUUGCAUCCAUAUAUUGACAAAUACACUAGCUUGCCUUUGAAACAAUAAUCAUUCAUACACGAUUUAUGCAAUCACAUCAAAAUCAAACACAAUCUUCCUACUUAUAACUGCAUGAAUGAUCCAAAUAAUUAACCUAGCUAUAGAUCGCUUUAUUUAUCCAGCACUAUCGUGAUCAUCAGUUGCAUGAUAAUAAGUACUCGAAUUAACUAGAGAAAGAUAUAACAAAAGAAACGGCCGGGGAAACCUCGUUAGAAAGGAAAAGGCGUGCCGAAGUAGAAAAGCAAGCUAGGAAAACCGUACAAGUUGUUUUGCAAGAAUUAAGUAACUAAUAACAAAUUAAGAUGAAACGAGCCGAAAGCAGAAAGUAGUGAAUAUAUAUAAAAUCUAUGGAGGUGUUAUAAAACAAAAUCGAACACACAUACGGUGGCAUUCUCCUAUCUCCAAUUUUAAAUCGAAGCUAGAAACCUAGCUAGCUAGAGCUUAGGGUUGCCUUAAUUAGUAGAUUCUCUGCGCUUAAGAAAUUAGAAAGUUGUUACUAUAUAUAGUAAUAUAAUUCCUUCCUCCCUCUCAUACGGGAACUAAAAACUCGAAUCUAACCCAACCCUAGAACUCGACUGCCCUAUAAUUUCUA
rnacentral:lncRNA from 1 species